UCAUGGGUUCGACGACGUAAAACUCAUCGAAAAUAAACCUUACAAGCAUAUAUUUGGGGGCUGUCCCUGACAAUGGUGUGCAUGCUCACCUCGUAGUGAGAAGCCUAAAGUUGUUACCAUGGCCACCCACCUUGCAAUCAGAGGUUUAGUUUCAGAGUUGUCCUCGAGCCUUUUUU
rnacentral:other from 1 species